UAAGUUCCGACCUGCACGAAUGGCGUAACGACUUCUCAGCUGUCUCAACCAUAGACUCGGCGAAAUUGCAUUACGAGUAAAGAUGCUCGUUACGCGCGGCAGGACGAAAAGACCCCGGGACCUUCACUACAGCUUGGUAUUGGUGUUCGGUUCGGUUUGUGUAGGAUAGGUGGGAGACGUUGAUGCGGCCACGCUAGUGGUGGUGGAGUCGUUGGUGAAAUACCACUCUGAUUGUUCUGGUUAUCUCACUGUGGACCGUGAUCCGGUUCAAGGACAGUGCCUGAUGGGUAGUUUGACUGGGGCGGUC
rnacentral:rRNA from 14 species